rnacentral:rRNA from 1 species
UACGAAGGGGGGCGAGCGUUGUUCGGAUUUACUGGGCGUAAAGGGCGCGCAGGCGGUCCUGUUUGUCGAGUGUGAAAGCCCCGGGCUCAACCUGGGAACUGCGCUCGAAACGGCGGGACUAGAGUUCGGGAGAGGAGAGUGGAAUUCCGAGUGUAGAGGUGAAAUUCGUAGAUAUUCGGAGGAACACCAGUGGCGAAGGCGGCUCACUGGUCCAUUACUGACGCUGAGGUGCGAAAGCGUGGGGAGCAAACAGG